UGGCGGACGGGUGAGUAACGCGUGGGCAACCUGGCCUGUACAGGGGGAUAACACUUAGAAAUAGGUGCUAAUACCGCAUAACGGGAGAAGCCGCAUGGCUUUUUCCUGAAAACUCCGGUGGUACAGGAUGGGCCCGCGUCUGAUUAGCCAGUUGGCAGGGUAACGGCUUACCAAAGCGACGAUCAGUAGCCGGCCUGAGAGGGCGGACGGCCACACUGGGACUGAGACACGGCCCAGACUCCUACGGGAGGCAGCAG
rnacentral:rRNA from 1 species